rnacentral:rRNA from 1 species
GACGAACGCUGGCGGCGUGCUUAACACAUGCAAGUCGAGCGGAAAGGCCCUGCUUUUGUGGGGUGCUCGAGUGGCGAACGGGUGAGUAACACGUGAGUAACCUGCCCUUGACUUUGGGAUAACUUCAGGAAACUGGGGCUAAUACCGGAUAGGAGCUCCUGCCGCAUGGUGGGGGUUGGAAAGUUUCGGCGGUUGGGGAUGGACUCGCGGCUUAUCAGCUUGUUGGUGGGGUAGUGGCUUACCAAGGCUUUGACGGGUAGCCGGCCUGAGAGGGUGACCGGCCACAUUGGGACUGAGAUACGGCCCAGACUCCUACGGGAGGCAGCAGUGGGGAAUAUUGCACAAUGGGCGGAAGCCUGAUGCAGCAACGCCGCGUGCGGGAUGACGGCCUUCGGGUUGUAAACCGCUUUCGCCUGUGACGAAGCGUGAGUGACGGUAAUGGGUAAAGAAGCACCGGCUAACUACGUG